GAUGAACGCUGGCGGCGUGCCUAAUACAUGCAAGUCGAGCGAAUGGAUUAAGAGCUUGCUCUUAUGAAGGUAGCGGCGGACGGGUGAGUAACACGUGGGUAACCUGCCCAUAAGACUGGGAUAACUCCGGGAAACCGGGGCUAAUACCGGAUAACAUUUUGAACCGCAUGGUUCGAAAUUGAAAGGCGGCUUCGGCUGUCACUUAUGGAUGGACCCGCGUCGCAUUAGCUAGUUGGUGAGGUAACGGCUCACCAAGGCAACGAUGCGUAGCCGCCCGGAGAGGGUGAUCGGCCACACUGGGACUGAGACACGGCCCAGACUCCUACGGGAGGCAGCAGUAGGGAAUCUUCCGAAAUGGACAAAAGUCCGACGGAGCAACGCCGCGUGAGUGAUGAAGGCUUUCGGGUCGUAAAACUCUGUUGUUAGAGAAGAACAAGUGCUAGUUGAAUAAGCUGGCACCUUGACGGUACCUAACCAGAAAGCCACGGCUAACUACGUGCCAGCCGCCGCCGUAA
rnacentral:rRNA from 1 species